rnacentral:tRNA from 3 species
GGGGCUAUAUUUUAAUUUAAAAUAUAUGCUUUGCAAGCGUGAGAUUUUUAGUUCUA